GUGCCCGAUCCGUCGCACGCGGCACGCCAGGGCGAGCGCGCCCGCCCCGCACACCGCCGACGCCACGCCGCCGGCCGCCCUAGCCGCCGCCGCUCGCGCCCCUCCCCUGCCGACGCCACGCCGCCGGCCACCCUAUCUGCCGCCGCCGGCCCGCCCGCCUCCGGUCCUCCUCCUCCCCGGAGCCGCCGGCGCCUGCUUCUUGCCGGUCGCGGGCGCGGGGAGGUGGCCGCGGUGAGCGUCCUCCAGGCCGACGCCGCAGCUCCGCGACAUCUUGAGCCGCUUCGCCUGCGGCUUGGGCAGGUAGUCGUCAGAUUGAGAUCGACGGGGCAUGGCGGAUCAAACAGGCCACAGACCCCACCGUCCUCCCCAAGGGUAAAGUCCAAGCUAACUCCCCGUAAAUGGAGAUUGCUGUGGGAGUUCAGGCUUUGGAUUGGCAACUGCUGUAAUCUGGCUGGGAUGUUCGUGGAAGUUCAUAGUAGAGUGAUGUCGGUUUGUUUGGGUUGAAUUGGUAUGUAUUGCAGUGCGUGUACCGCGUGAUCCUUUCACGAGGGGCCUCUUCAGAAGAUCUGGGACCUGAACAAUGAGAUCUUCAGAAAUUGACAUGCAGACUAUGGCAACAUGUGCUGCUGCAAAGUGAAUUCAGUGAACAAACUAGCUCUGUAAUCCAUUGUGUUUCUUAGAUCAAUGUUCAGGAUUAGUGUGUUUCUGUAAUCCACAGCAUUUUAACAAAUGAAUAUGCUGCUAUUCAGAUUUGUUAUGCUAUCAAAUGAAUAUUUGUUCAUAUGCA